rnacentral:lncRNA from 1 species
GAAGGUUUGCUCCAGGUCACCAGUAACACAUUUAAAUGGAACUGGGAUGCUAUGGACCUGAAUUCUGAUCAUCUCUGAUUCUGGGGCUAACAUGCAUCUGUGGAGAGGGGACUAACAAUGUCCACACAGCUGAGAAGGCAAUCUCGGGCUGCACUGAUGGAGAAAUGGGGU